rnacentral:rRNA from 1 species
UUGAAAAGAACUUUGAAGAGAGAGUUCAAGAGUACGUGAAACCGUUCAGGGGUAAACCUAAGAAACCCAAAAGAUCGAACGGGGAGAUUCAUCGUCAGCGACGCUGGCUUCGCGUCGGUGGGCGAUGUCCCGCGGGGCCUCGCGGCUCGCGCGCGGGCACGCCGCCGUGCGUCGAUGCCCGGCGUUCGUCGUCGUGCACUUCUCCCCUAGUAGAACGUCGCGACCCGCUGGGUGUCGGUCUACGGCCCGGGUGCGGUGGCUGACGCGUCGCCGGUAAAACGGCACGCGCCAAACCCCCGGUCGCCCGGCCGGCUGCCCGGCGGUACACGCAAGGUAUCAGGCCGCACCAUCGAACUCUUACCACGGGUUGUGCGUCGAGGCCGUCGCAAGCGCGCGCCACGGUACACGGAGGCUAACGGACCUGGCGCCGUCACCGGUCCUGGCCCGCUGUUGGUCGUACGGUUAACCUUCGACAGGCCCGCGAACGUUCCCCGGGUGGCUCGCGAGAGCCACCCGGGGGACCGAUACCGGUCGGCGACGCUACUGCUUUGGGUACUCUUAGGACCCGUCUUGAAACACGGACCAAGGAGUCUAACAUGUACGCGAGUCAUUGGGACUAGCGAUACACCUAAAGGCGCAAUGAAAGUGAAGGUCGGCCCUGGUUGUCGACCGAGGGAGGAUGGGCCGCGUCGCGACGCGGCUCCGCACUCCCGGGGCGUCUCGUUCUCAUCGCGAGAAGAGGCGCACCCAGAGCGUACACGUUGGGACCCGAAAGAUGGUGAACUAUGCCUGGUCAGGACGAAGUCAGGGGAAACCCUGAUGGAGGUCCGUAGCGAUUCUGACGUGCAAAUCGAUCGUCGGAACUGGGUAUAGGGGCGAAAGACUAAUCGAACCAUCUAGUAGCUGGUUCCCUCCGAAGUUUCCCUCAGGAUAGCUGGCACUCGGCCGUUCCGCACGGAACGCGCGCGAGUCUCAUCUGGUAAAGCGAAUGAUUAGAGGCCUUGGGGCCGAAACGACCUCAACCUAUUCUCAAACUUUAAAUGGGUGAGAUCUCUGGCUUUCUUGAACCGUGAAGCCACGAGCAUCAGAUCGGAUCAGAGUGCCAAGUGGGCCAUUUUUGGUAAGCAGAACUGGCGCUGUGGGAUGAACCAAACGCAGAGUUAAGGCGCCCAACUCGACGCUCAUGGGACACCAUGAAAGGCGUUGGUUGCUUAAGACAGCAGGACGGUGGCCAUGGAAGUCGGAAUCCGCUAAGGAGUGUGUAACAACUCACCUGCCGAAGCAACUAGCCCUGAAAAUGGAUGGCGCUGAAGCGUCGAGCCUAUACUCUGCCGUCAGCGGCAAGUGGGGCGGCCGUGCCGCGAGCCCGCGCGUCCGUCGUCGGACGCGCGCGGCCGCGUACGCGCCGUCACGAGGCCCUGACGAGUAGGAGGGUCGCGGCGGUGCGCGCAGAAGGGUCU